UAGCAGAGAUGGGUUUUUGCCGUAUCAGCCAAUCUGGUCUGGAACUCCUGACCUUAGGUGAUCCACCUGCGUCAGCCUCCCUAAGUGCUUGAAUUAGAGGUGUGAGCCACCGUGCAUGGCCUGCGUUUACUUUCAAUGAAAUAUCCAAGACAUUUCUGUUGGAGGUUAUCUGGAGGAAGUCACCGAAACCCUGAUCUUUUAUAUUGCCACUGUUUUGUUGGAAAAGUGAUCGAAGUCCCUACUUCCUGGGAGUCUUUACCAGUUGAUGGGAUCUAUUUGAACACUUUUCAAAUCCAGUCUGCUCAUUGAAGAUUUGAAAAGGACUACAAACAUGACCUUUACAACAAGGGUUUUCCAAUUAAUCCCACACAUUUAACACUUACACUGACGACAUGUAGUAUACUACAAAGCUACAGUAAGCAAAGCAGCAUGGUACUGGUGUCAAAGUAGACAAGUAAACCAGUGGAACAGAUCAGAGAACUCAGAUACUGUUACACCUCUCUACAGCCAACUGAAUUUUGACAAAGGUAGCAACAGUAUUUACUGGGGAAAGGACAGUCUUUUCAAUCAACACUGCUGGCAAAACUGGAUAUUUACAUGCAGGGAAUAAAAUUAUACCCUCACGUCUCAUCCAGUGCCAAAAUCAACUCAAAAUAGAUUGAAAACUUUAAUGUAAAACCUGAAAGAACAAAUCUACUAGAAGAAAACAUAGGAGAAAUGCUCCAGAACAUUAAUCAGAGAAAAAAUUGUAUGAAUAAAAUCACAAAAGCCUAGUCCACAAAAGCAAAAAUCAACAGCUGGAAUUAUAUUAAACUGCAAAGCUUCUGCACAGCAAAGGCAACAAUCAAUGCAGUGAAAAGACAACUGACAGAAUGAGAAAAAAUAUUUACCAACUAUUCACUGGACAGGAGAUUGAUACCCUGAAUAUACAAGGAAAUCAAAUAACUCAAUAGCAAAUUAAAAAGAAAAAAAAAAACCCAAACAACCCAAUUAAAAAACGGGCAAAUGAUCUGAACAGACAAUUAACAUAUGCCAAUUUACAAAAUAAAAUUGAAGUGGAAAAAGACUAUUCUGUAUACGUAACAUAUUGAAAAUUGUAAGCUCUUUUUGGAUUCCAUAAUUACACAAAUACGGUGGAAUUAUAGCUGCUAAGACAUAACAUGCCAAAUAAUGCAUAAGGUAAUAUGAUACAAAAUGGGGGCUAGGCAUAGUGCUGCGUGCCUCUAAUCCUGGCAUUGAGGAGGCCAAGGUAUGAGGAUGGAUUCGGGUCAGCAGUUCUAGACCAGCCUGCGCAUCUUAUUGACAUCUUAUCUCUACUAAAAAUUCUUUUAAAAAUAAUGCUGGCGUGAUGGCACAUGCUUGUAGUCUCAGCUACUCAGGAGACUGUGGCGGCAGGAUUGCUUGAGCCCAGGAGGUCCAAGGUGCAGUGAGCCAUGAUAGUGCCAUUUCAGUCCAGCCUAGGUGACAGAGUGAGACCCUAUCUCAAAAAAAAAAAAAAAAAAACCCAGUCAAAUAACUUGAUAUAACACAAGCCAAUAUAUUAUAAAUGCUCUAAUUACAGAUAUUUUAUACAAUGAUGUUAUUUCAAAUAACUGGGUAAGCUACUUGUUUGCUUAGACAAGAUGUAAAUGUCCUGGCCGGUGAGUUUAAAGUAUUUUUAUAAGAAAAAUUAAGCAUGAAGGGCUUCACUACAAAUGUCAUACACACCAGAAUCUGCGAUGUAUUGUCUCAAGUCUAGAAGAUUCGUGGAUAUCCAGGUCAGCAGCAACACUGAGCUCACCAAAGCCCAGCCUCCACAAAUUCAGUCUGACUUCUCUGGAGAAGUCUUCCCUGGACAACUCUGCUUUUUAAGUGAUUAGACUCACUUAAGAACACUCCCACUUCCUGGGAUUGGCUACUGUCUGGAGAAAGAAGUGGAAAUGGAAGAUUAGGUUACACAGAAGGGUGUAACGUUGGGGAAGGGUGUAACAUGGGGUGAUCGGAUUUAUAAAGUACAGACAAUCAUGCCUAGGGGAUUACAGCCCAACAGAAGGUAGAGGAUUUUGGAGUGAGAUGCAAGAAUCUUAACCUGACGUAGGUUGUACACAGACAUUACAACUGAAACAAUUAUUUCAUUAAGUAAUGUUUUAUUUCACAAACAAUGCCCUCACAAUUAAAAACAAUUGCUUUAUUAUUUUAAACUGAAAUGUAUCAUCUAUAUUUCCAUUAAAGAUUUUUUAUUUAUUCUUCAACAAGCAUAUACCAAUGACAAUGAACUAGGUAUUAGAAAUAAAUUAUAUUAAACUAUAAUAGACAAUUUCAGUCCUGCUAGAACAUCCAGACUAGUGAAUGAGAUGUAUCAUAAUUAAAGAAUCACACAAGUAAAUAUACAAUUAGAACUAUAAGCUCAAUAAAUAAGCAGUACAUGUUUUGAGGGUCGGUAGUAGGAGGGAGGUGCUGAAUGCAAGCUCACACAAGGCUUUUAUGAAGAUAUGAAAGCAUUGAGAUUUGAGGAAUAGGAAUACAUUAACUUGGUAAAGAGAGAUAGAGAGAAACUUUCUUUGCAGUAACAGCAGCAGAUGCAAAAGCUUCCUGGAUGGAGGAAGCCUGGUACAGUUGAGCUCCAGGCCAUUGGAGCUAGAGUGACAAGAAUGAGAGUGAUCUGAUGGGAGAUGAGGCUGCAGAGGCAGGUACAUGCAUCAGAACAUGGAAAAGAUGAGUUUGUUAUCUAGAAAUUAUGGGAAGCCAGUGAAGUAUCAGUCUAGUUUUAAAAUAUAUCAUUGCUAAAUAAGUCUCCAGUCAUUAUUUAUCUGAAUAUGUACAACUCUAAAAUAUUAAAUGAAAUAACUAACCCAUCUAUGGAGCUCUCAUAAAAAAGUGCACCUAGGCACUUAGUUGUGUUUUAAAUACUAUGACUUUAUAUACAACAGUUGGUGAAUUUACUUGUCUAAUUUUUUUGUUGUCUUCCCUAUUUUAUGACUACUUUCAAUGGUGAAUUUAUGCAAAAAUAAAAUGUGUUUUUUUGAUUUUACGCCAUGUGAAUAAUUUUAAAUUAGAUACUUUACAUCAGUAUAUAUGUAUGGACAUGUAGAAGAUGUACAGCAUGUAUAUUUAUAUAAAAAUAUGAUGCAAUGUCGUAAAUAAUUAUUUAAACAAUAAUUAUGUGUAUAAUUAUCUUUAACAAAGUACAUACAGAAAACUAAUUUUGAAUAGAGUUUGGUGACUCUUGUCUGUAAUUCCAGCUAGUUGGACAGCUGGGCAAAAGGGUCACUUGACUCUAGGAAUUCCAGGUUUCCCCAGGCAGCAUAGGGUGACACCUGUCUCUAAAAACAAAAUGUUUUUACCCAGGCCUGGAAGCAAGCACAUGUAGUUCCAGCUAAUCAGGAGGACCAGGCAGGAGGAUCACUUGAGCCUAGGUGUUUGAGGCUGCAAUGAACUAUGAUCAUGCACUGCACUUUGGUCUGAGUGACAGAGGGAGAACUUGUCUAAAUAAAGGAAAGAAAAAAAUGAAAGAAAAACAAAGUUAUAAGUUAGAAAGUGUUGCUUUUUCUCUGUUCUCUAGAAGAAUUUGUCUAAAAGUGUGUUAUUUCUUUCUAAAAUGCUUUGAAAAUUUCGCUGAAAGAGAUCCCUGGAGUUUUCUUUGUGAGUUUUGUUUUUUAAGUAAUAACACUGAAUUUUAAGAAUCCAAAUCAUAUCUUUCAUUUUUCUAUGUUCUCUUCCGUCUGUUUUAGUCAGCUGUGUUUUUCAAGAAAUUUUCUCAUGUCAUCAAAAUUGUCAAAUGUAUAGGUAUAAAUUGUUCCUAAAAUAUUCAUACUGGCUUAUUGAUAUCUGGAUGACCUAUGAGUUUGCCUGUUUAUUCUUGAUUUGAACUCCCCCUCUCCAUUGUUUAAAUGAAUCUCAUUGGGAAUUUAUUAAUUUAAUGUAUCUAUUUAAAGGACCUACUUUUGAAUUUGUUGAUUUAUGUUUUGCAUGCUUUUUAAUCAAUUUUCUGCAAUUUAUCUAAUUUUUUUUAGUUUUUCAAUGGGAAUUUGCUUUAAUUUUCUGGCUGUUUGCGACAGACCUAAAGAAAGGUUAUUAACAAAGACGUUAUUAACAAAGAAGUUAAUAACAGAUGCAUUUAAUAAUAUACAUUGUUUUGUAAGCAUUGUCUUAAAUACAUUUCAAAAGUUUUUUUGUUUUGUAUUUUGAAUAUUAUUUAAUUAAACAUACUUUCUUCAUUGUUUUUCUUUAGUGCAUGUAUUUUCAGGGAAACUAUAAUGGAGAGGGGAGGGAAUGCAUUUUUCUAAUGAUAUUUAUAACAAUUAGAAACAAUUGAACUUAAUUUUAAUAAAACAUUAUAACCCAAUAUAUCCAAAAUGUUUUCAACAUAAUAAACAUUACAAAUAUUAGUGAGAUAUUUUAUAUUCUUUCUUUUUGAGACAGGGUCUGGCUUUGUCACCCAGGCUGGAGUGCAGUCACUGGAUCCUGUCUAGCUGCAGUGUCAACCCCCCUGGCUAUAGCAAUCUUCCCACCCCAGCUUCCCCAGUACCAGGGACCACAGGUUCAUCCCACCAUGCUCCGCUAAUUUUUAUUUUUUUGGAGAGACGAGUUUUUGCAAUGUUGCCUAGGCUUUUCUCAAACUCCUUUCCUGUGUCCACCUCUCAAUGUGCUGCGAUGACGGGCUUGAACAAUAAUGUUCAUACAUUUUAGGAAGAAAGUCCUAAGCCUACUUAGGUUUUUUAAAAAAGGGUAGAUUGGAAUUUACUUUCUCUAAACUCAAUAGUUUCUAGAACUAUAAAUUAGAGUCAAGUAUUAAAGACCCCAGGAAGACAAUUUUAGAAGAAAGGUUUUCAAAGUGAGCCAGGCUAGAUGCUUUAUAAUUGAGGAUUCACUGGAUAUGUCUUGGCAUCCUAAUGGCCAACGCUGAGGGUUUUUAUUUUUUUUAAUAAUGUGAAAGACUGAACUUUGUUACAUGUACAUUGUGUAGAAUUUCCAAAGUUAGAAACUUUUCUUAAAACACUUCACUACAUUUCUUUUAUUUAUGUAUUUUUUAAAAAAUUUAAACUAUGCAUGGAUACAUCCUUAAUAGAAGAUUAGGUUUCUGCAGUUUCAAAGGCAAAACCUAGUCCUUUCCAUUGGCUCUAUUUAAUUGUAUAGUUGCUUUAUCGAUUAAAAUUAA
rnacentral:lncRNA from 10 species